rnacentral:lncRNA from 1 species
ACUCCCUAGGGAAGAAUCUUGGUCAAACCCGAAAGGAAAGCUACUUUAAGAUAAGAAGAAAACCGAGGGGUUUCGUCUGUCGAAUAGUUACCCAGGAAAGCAAGAUGCUAUGGAAGGAGGGAAACCCGCUAACUACAAUUUAAUAGUUACCUUAGCCUGGUAAACCCGACACCUAUGAGGAUAUCCGGGGCAUUCUCCUCACUUUCGGGAGAAAUGCACGACUUGAUAGCUCAUCUGCAGCCCUUCUCUUGCUCGGGCGAUAGAAGCACACUCCAGAGACCUGCCCGCUUAGUUACAUAAACAAAGAAGCUCCCUGGGGCAAGGAAAGUUAGCCACCUCUUUCACCCUCUUAGGGGUUUCCUUCGAUAGAGGAUUGGGAAAGGCAUGACUACUAUAUUACUUGGCAGGUUUCAUCAUUCUUCCACCUCGAGGGAUGGAUCGAUGUGGGUGGGAAGGGCGCUUUCCACUAUAUGAGCUAGGAAAGCCCGUCUUUUGAAUGAAUUAACAAACCUUUUCCCUCCUGAAAUAAGACAACACAGGGGGUGGAGUGAGCCUAGAGUAGAAUAAGACUCCCUCUUAGACUCUCAACUCAUACCAGGGCGGGCAGGGAAAGACUGAGACUACCGAUACCGAGCCGGGGUUGGAUCACAGGAUAGAUACCCUAUGGUUGGUCUCUAUGCCUGCUUCACUUCGUAGCAUUAAGGGGGCAGUGCCAUGAGGGAAAUCGACUAGGAAC